ACAUCGGUGACAGGUGGUGCAUGGUUGUCGUCAGCUCGUGUCGUGAGAUGUUGGUUAAGUCCCGCAACGAGCGCAACCCCUACGUUUAGUUGCUAACGCGUGAAGGCGAGCACUCUAGACGAACUGCCGUUGACAAAACGGAGGAAGUGGGGAUGACGUCAAUCAUCAUGCCCCUUAUGUUCUGGGCUACACACGUGCUACAAUGGCCGGUACAGACGGACGCAAAGCCGCGAGGUGGAGCAAAUCCUAAAAAGCCGGUCUCAGUUCGGAUUGCAGGCUGCAAUUCGCCUGCAUGAAGUCGGAAUCGCUAGUAAUCGCGGAUCAGCAUGCCGCGGUGAAUACGUUCCCGGGUCUU
rnacentral:rRNA from 1 species